GCGCCAGGUUGGGGAAGGCGCCCUCCGCUUGAGCGGGAGGUGGCUGCAGGCGAUCAGGGACCUCCGAAGAGGCCCCUGCCUCCUCCUCCUCCUCUUCUAGACGGGCUUUCUUGCUUGGGACCAGUCCGACGUCCCCGCCGUCACUCAGGCUGCUGCUCCGCCGCUUGCGGCUGACUUUAGUGGGGCGCGGGGCACAGGGAGCUGGGGUCUCCGCGGCUCCCGGCGCCUCCCGCGUGUCCAUGGGCUCCGGGGAAGGCUGCUCACCGUCGGGGGGCGCUGCCUCGGCUACAGCUUCCGCUUCCCGCAACUGGUGCAGGCGAGGAUCAGGGGAGCGGACGGGCGGCAAGGGCACCUCGGGCUCGUGGGCUUCCACCUUGGCCGAGAGGUAGAGCUCUCGCGCGCUGCGCAUGACCAGCGACAGCUGCAGACUCCGGUGCAGCCGCAGGCCACCGCGCUGCAUGCGCGAAUGGUACAUCUUCCACACCGACAGGGUCAUGAUGCGUUGAGCCUCCUUCUGCACCUCCAUGGCGGCUAGACGGCGGGGGCGAGGACGGCGGGGGCUCCCUGACUGGGCAGGACAGGUAGCAGGUGCACUCCGGGCUACGCGCUCGUUCACGCUUCUCCCCUCGCGCCAACCCACGCCGUGAC
rnacentral:lncRNA from 1 species